rnacentral:rRNA from 1 species
UAAUAUAAAGUCUAGCCUGCCCAAUGAUUAUUUGAAUGGCUGCGGUAUUUUGACCGUACUAAGGUAGCAUAAUAAUUAGUUUUUUAAUUGAAAGCUGGUAUGAAUGGUUGGACGAGAAAGUGACUGUCUCAAUUUAAUUUUAAUUAGAAUUUUAUUUUUAAGUAAAAAAGCUUAAAUGAGUUUAAAAGACGAGAAGACCCUAUAGAGUUUUAUAUUUUAUUAUUAUUAUAAGUUUUAAGAAUUAAAUACUUGAUUGAUAAUUAAAUAUUUUGUUGGGGUGACAAAAAAAUUAAAUAAACUUUUUUUAUAUAAAUACAUUAAUUUAUGAGUAAGUGAUCCAU